rnacentral:ncRNA from 2 species
GGCCCGCAUCCAGAGUCGGGUCACGCCCCGGCACCAACCUGCAUCCGAGCAAGGUGGCGUUCCCGUGACGGGAAGAUGUGGCCGAUCCGGCAAAAAACGGACCCCAG